UGCAAACUCCCAAGCUAAACAAGGCAUUCUUACAUAUUUAACAUUCAAAUGCAGAAGCCAAGCUAAACCAUGGAAGAUUGUAAUCCGAAAAAAGCUACACUUCCUGAUCCACACAAAAGCUACAGGUUCUUUAAACAGGAGACAGGUUGCUAUCAUUUUGGGCUGAAGUCUGGAGGUUAUUUUGGAAUGUGAAAACUACUUGUUGCUUGGAUCCAUGACAAUCACGUAGAUGCUAUUCAUUCACUUUAAUGAUCUACACCAACAUGGUAAGCUAUAUACCAAAGACUGGGUCUCAGGUCACUUGCU
ensembl:lncRNA